rnacentral:rRNA from 1 species
GACGAACCGUGCGAACGUUAUUCGGAAUCACUGGGCUUAAAGCGCGUGUAGGCGGCCCGGCACGUCCGUCGCUGAAAUCCCCCGGCUCAACCGGGGAAGUGGCGUGGAUACGACCGGGCUGGAGGGGGGUAGGGGGAGCCGGAACUUCCGGUGGAGCGGUGAAAUGCGUUGAGAUCGGAAGGAACGCCCGUGGCGAAAGCGGGCUCCUGGACCCCACCUGACGCUGAGGCGCGAAAGCCAGGGGAGCGAACGGG